UACGAAGGGUGCAAGCGUUACUCGGAAUUACUGGCGUAAAGCGCGCGUAGACGGUUUGUAAGUCAGAUGUGAAAUCCCUGGGCUCAAACCUGGGAACUGCAUUUGAGACUGCAUGGCUAGAGUAUGGAAGAGGGAAGUGGAAUUUCCGGUGUAGCGGUGAAAUGCGUAGAUAUCGGAAGGAACACCAGUGGCGAAAGCGACUUCCUGGUCCAAUACUGACGUUCAUGUGCGAAAGGCGUGGGGAGCAAACAGG
rnacentral:rRNA from 1 species